CCCUUAGAUGUCCUGGGCCGCACGCGCGUUACACUGAUGCAUUCAACGAGCUUAUAACCUUGGCCGAGAGGCCUGGGCAAUCUUGUUAACGUGCAUCGUGAUAGGGAUAGAUUAUUGAAAUUAUUAAUCUUGAACGAGGAAUUCCUAGUAAACGCAGAUCAUCAAUCUGCAUUGAUUACGUCCCUGCCCUUUGUACACACCGCCCGUCGCUCCUACCGAUUGAAUGUGCCAGUGAAAAGUUCGGAUUGGAGAUAGGAGACGGCAACGUAUCCUAUUUCCGAGAAAAUCUUUAAACUUUCCCAUUUAGAGGAAGGAGAAGUCGUAACA
rnacentral:rRNA from 1 species